GCUAGAAUGACAUGUAGUGUUUUUAACUUGACAGCCUUUCAGUGGAGGUGGAACAACGAAAGAUCUUGGCACGUCUUGACACCUCCAGGUGUAAGGCAGUAGAGUGAGACCAUUUUACGGAUGAAGGUUUAAGAGGAGCCCAGGACUGCACAGCAAGAGAAGGACAGGGCCCAGCUUUGCCAUCUGGGAAAACAACCCAACAGAAAACAACUGGGAUAACAACCCAACAGCUAACAGACAGCCAAGUAACAGGCUAACUAAGAAGUGUACUCAUACCCUCUCUUUUGAAGCGGGAACUGGAAGAUACUUCUCUUGAACAAUGGGUGAAGAUAGCACAUCUAAUCUUUAAAUCAUUCCAUUACUGACAAAUUGCCAGUUUCAGACAAUUCAACCACUCAAGCACAAGAACUUAAAGUGAGAGAAAACCAGAAGAGAAAAACCAAUCUUCUUACUAAUGCUGUUAAAAAUGAAAUGAAAUGAAAUGUAUUAUAAGUGCAAAAUGUCAUGUACAGUGUCAAGAGAAAAAUCUUAGCUUCUGCCAUGAUGCACAUCAGCCAUCAAGUACUUACAGCAGAAAAUGUCUAUAGUGAAUUGAGUUGAGUGGUGUGAUAUCAUCAGUAGCUAUGCUGAUUUGAUUUAGAAGCAUUGCUUAUAUUUUAAAUGCUAGUUUCCAAGACUGUAUGUGGCUUCAAAGACCUCUCUCUCUUUAUGUGGUAAAAGGGAGAUAGCAAA